AUGGACUCAGGUUCAAGUUCCGAAGUAAUUACACAUAUAGAAAUCCAAAAAGAAAUCGAUACGAUCCACGUCAUAAUCCAUAUUGGAUUCCCAAAUUUAUUAAAGAAAAAAGGAGCAAUCGAAGAAUUAGAGAAAGAUCUACAAAAGGAAAUUAACUCUGUAAACCAGAGAUUUAAUAUUUCUAUCAAAAAAGUUAAAGAACCUUAUAGACAGCCUAACAUUCUUGCAGAAUAUAUAGCUUUCCAAUUAAAAAAUAGAGUUUCAUUCCGAAAGGCAAUGAAAAAAGGCAUUGAAUUAACUAAAAAAGCAGAUAUAAGGGGAGUAAAAGUAAAAAUUGCGGGUCGUCUCGGAGGAAAAGAAAUUGCACGCGCCGAAUCCAUUAAAAAGGGUAGACUUCCCCUCCAAACAAUUCGCGCUAAAAUUGAUUAUUGCUGCUAUCCAAUUCGGACUAUCUAUGGAGUAUUAGGUGUAAAAAUUUGGAUAUUCGUAGACGAAGAAUAA
rnacentral:rRNA from 1 species